UCNGGAGGCAGAGGCAGGCGGGUUUCUG
rnacentral:piRNA from 1 species